AAUCGGUGUACGAUACCGGGGACUUGUCCCCACCAUUGAGCCGAGGGGAACGAGCCUCAGUAACAGCAUCCUUACAGGGUGGAAAACUGAAAAAGCAAACGGAGGGUGGAGUUUGGUAGGUUUCCUUAUCGGAUUCUCGAAGAAGUCAGGCCCG
rnacentral:ncRNA from 1 species